rnacentral:rRNA from 1 species
UGGGGGAUAUUGCACAAUGGGCGAAAGCCUGAUGCAGCGACGCCGCGUGGGGGAUGAAGGCUUUCGGGUUGUAAACCUCUUUCGCUAUCGAACAAGGCCCGCUUAGGGUGGGUUGAGGGUAGGUGGAGAAGAAGCGCCGUCUAACUACGUGCCAGCAGCCGCGGUAAUACGUAGGGCGCGAGCGUUGUCCGGAAUUAUUGGGCGUAAAGGGCUUGUAGGCGGCUUGUUGCGCCUGCUGUGAAAACGCGGGGCUUAACUUCGCGCGUGCAGUGGGUACGGGCAGGCUUGAGUGUGGUAGGGGUGACUGGAAUUCCAGGUGUAGCGGUGGAAUGCGCAGAUAUCUGGAGGAACACCGAUGGCGAAGGCAGGUCACUGGGCCAUUACUGACGCUGAGGAGCGAAAGCAUGGGUAGCGAACAGG